UUUAGCCACCAAGAAUCACGCCUACAAACAAGACAAAACACACACACACGCACACUGCAUGUAGUAGAAACUUUUCCUUUGUAGUUUCCCAGUUUGCUAAAAUGGAUGUUCUCACCAUGAGAUUUUCCUUAAUAUUUCCACUCAUUAUCACAUCUCCAGACUGUUCAUCAGCUGCCGAUACCCCAGCAACAAGGCGAUAAACAAGCACUGAUCGCGUUCAAGUCCCUCAUAACCGCAGAUCCCCUCAUGUCCUUAGCCUCCUGGGAUGACUCUUCCCAUUUUCACAGCUGGACCGGGCUUGCAUGUGGCCCAAAGCUCCAAAGGUUCAGGGGUUUGAAUCUCACACAACUCAGCUUAGCUGGGACCAUAGCUCCCCAACUGGGAAACCUUUCCUUCAUUACCAUUCUUAAUCUCUCAGUAAACUCAUUCCAAGGAGUGAUUCCCUCAGGGCUGGGAAAUCUUGAAAGACUUGAAAUCUUGAAUGUGAGCAACAAUCUUCUCGGAGGGCGAAUCCCAGACGGUCUUUCUAACUGUUCCAAACUCAGAAACCUGGCUUUGGACCAUAACUACUUGAUAGGGACCUUUCCAACCGAACUAGGAUCACUUCCUGAGCUUCUCAGGUUUUACCUUGGCAGCAACUAUCUAAAAGGUGAAGACCAAUUUGGAGGAAUCUUGCCUCUCUCUCUAUAGCCAGUUUUUCCGUUAAGUUGAACACACUCUAUCUACAUUCCAAUAUUAUCCAUGGAAGCAUACCGAGAGAGAUAUCAAAUCUUGUGAGCAAGAGUACACUCUAUAUGUUCUCAAAUGAUCUCAACGGUACCAUUCCUGACUCGUUUGGGAUGCUUCCGAGUGUAGGAAAGCUCGUUCUGGGUCUAACCGGCUGACAGGAAAGAUCACAUAAUCCAUUGGAAACAUCACAAGCCUGCUGUGACUGUUUUUGUUUGACAACAUGUUAGAAGGAGGCAUACCAUCAUCUUUAGCAAAUUGUAAUCAACUGGUCUUUAUUGAUAUUGCAAGGAACAAUCUGAGAGGGAUCAUUCCUCAAGAAAUCAGUGGCAUGCCAAGCAUUUUGUCGUUUAAUGUGUCGUACAACUCCUUCAUUGGUUCCCUGCCUGAAAAUUUUGGAAACAUGAGCCAUCUUGUUAGAACUGAUAUCUUACAACAGAUUUUCUGGUCAGAUUUCAGACAGCAGAGGCAGCUGUUUGGAAUUGAACAUUAUCUGCUUUCAAGGAUAUUCUUUUGAGGGGAGGAUUCCAAAUUAAGCUCAUUUGAGUAUCCUCAACUACUUAGACCUUUCAAACAACAAUAUUUGGGGGAUAAUCCAAGUUUCUUGACAAAGCUCCUCUCUUUCAUCUCCUUAAAUCUGUCCUUAAAUCUAGGCUUUGCAGUGGAAUACCUCAGUUCCAGUUACUGGCAUGCCCUCAGCAAGAACCUCAAAGAAUCCGAAGAAAACAAGGACCAAAAACUCCAAUACCAUCUUGAUAAUCGUCUUGCCUUCAUCCUUUGCUGCUAUAUCGUUGCUUCUUCUCCUGGUUUACUGGACACUAAGGAGACUGCAGAGGUCACCGGAUUCAGAAUCCAGGCCUGUGAACUUCUUCCCCAAGAUAUCCUACCAAGAACUGCUGAAAGCUACCUACUGUUUAUCAUCACAGAACCUCAUUGGGUCAGGCAGUUUUGGGAGUGUUUACAAGGGCACUCUGGGUUCGGAUGGAACAGUCGGUGCAGUUAAGGUUCUCAACCUCAGACGGAGUGGAGCUGCUAGAAGCUUCUUGGCUGAAUGCGAAGCCUUGAAGAGCGUCAGACAUUACAACCUUGCCAAGGUGAUAACUGCUUGUUCAAGCAAUGAUUUCCAUGGAAACGAUUUCAAAGCACUCGUAUAUCAUUUUAUGUCAAAUGGGAGCUUAGACAAAUGGCUAAAUCCACAAGAAAACACACCUACGUUGAACAUUCUUCAAAGGAUCAACAUUGUAACAGAUGUAGCUGCUGCACUGCAUUAUCUUCAUAACAGGUGUACACCUGUUGCUCACUGUUAACUCAAGCCACAUAACGUCCUUCUUGAUAGCGACAUGACUGCUCGUGUUGGUGAUUUUGGUUUAGCCUGAGUAGUUCCCAUGUUCGGAGCAAGAGAAGUUUCAGAGCAGUCCAGCUCACUUGCAAUCCGAGGAACCAUUGGAUAUACUGCUCUGCAUGGGAAGGCCAGUCGACAACUUGAGCCUUCACCAGUUUGUGAAGAUGUCUGUCCCACAAAAAGUCACAGAAAUUCUAGACAACUCAGCUUUGUUUGAACAAGUAACAGGAAAUGCUGAGACAUGGAGUGCAGCUUGGAGAAGUUUGAGAAACGUGCAGCGUGACUGCAUGAUCCAUCUCCUCCAAAUUGGAGUUACAGCUCGUCUGCAUCACCAAAGGAUCAGAUGAGCUCACACCAAGCUCAUCAGCAACUGUUGGUCAUUAGAGGGGACUUUCUUGGAGUAUAAGAACAUAGUAAACUUGCAAUGAUCACCACAAGGUUUAUUUUUUCUUACAUUUUAGAAGUUAACAUACACCUUGUUUCUUGAUCAAAUACACAAGUAUUCUGUCCUAACACACAUCAUGGCUUGAAAAAUAGGUCCUUUAAUAUUGAGCAAGUCUGAAAGUAGAAGAGAACAAUGGAAA